rnacentral:rRNA from 1 species
UGGGGAAUUUUGGACAAUGGGCGCAAGCCUGAUCCAGCCAUGCCGCGUGCGGGAAGAAGGCCUUCGGGUUGUAAACCGCUUUUGUCGGGGAAGAAAUCUUCUGAGUUAAUACCUCGGGAGGAUGACGGUACCUGAAGAAUAAGCACCGGCUAACUACGUGCCAGCAGCCGCGGUAAUACGUAGGGUGCAAGCGUUAAUCGGAAUUACUGGGCGUAAAGCGUGCGCAGGCGGUUUUGUAAGACAGAGGUGAAAUCCCCGGGCUCAACCUGGGAACUGCCUUUGUGACUGCAAGGCUUGAGUGCGGCAGAGGGGGAUGGAAUUCCGCGUGUAGCAGUGAAAUGCGUAGAUAUGCGGAGGAACACCGAUGGCGAAGGCAAUCCCCUGGGCCUGCACUGACGCUCAUGCACGAAAGCGUGGGGAGCAAACAGGAUUAGAUACCCUGGUAGUCCACGCCCUAAAGCGAUGUCAACUGGUUGUUGGGAAGGUUCCUUCUCAGUAACGUAGCUAACGCGUG